rnacentral:rRNA from 1 species
UACGUAGGGUCCGAGCGUUGUCCGGAAUUAUUGGGCGUAAAGGGCUCGUAGGCGGUUUGUCGCGUCGGGAGUGAAAACACCGGGCUUAACUCGGUGCUUGCUUUCGAUACGGGCAGACUUGAGGCAUUCAGGGGAGAACGGAAUUCCUGGUGUAGCGGUGAAAUGCGCAGAUAUCAGGAGGAACACCGGUGGCGAAGGCGGUUCUCUGGGAAUGUCCUGACGCUGAGGAGCGAAAGUGUGGGGAGCGAACAGG